rnacentral:rRNA from 1 species
GAUGAACGCUGGCGGCGUGCCUAAUACAUGCAAGUCGAGCGAACAGACGAGGAGCUUGCUCCUCUGACGUUAGCGGCGGACGGGUGAGUAACACGUGGAUAACCUACCUAUAAGACUGGGAUAACUUCGGGAAACCGGAGCUAAUACCGGAUAAUAUAUUGAACCGCAUGGAUCAAUAGUGAAACGCGGUUUUGCUGUCACAUAUAGAUGGAUCCGCGCCGCAUUAGCUAGUUGGUAAGGUAACGGCUUACCAAGGCGACGAUGCGUAGCCGACCUGAGAGGGUGAUCGGCCACACUGGAACUGAGACACGGUCCAGACUCCUACGGGAGGCAGCAGUAGGGAAUCUUCCGCAAUGGGCGAAAGCCUGACGGAGCAACGCCGCGUGAGUGAUGAAGGUCUUCGGAUCGUAAAACUCUGUUAUUAGGGAAGAACAAAUGUGUAAGUAACUAUGCACGUCUUGACGGUACCUAAUCAGAAAGCCACGGCUAACUACGUG